rnacentral:tRNA from 2 species
GGGCGAUUAGCUCAGAUGGUUAGAGCGCCUGCCUUACAAGCAGGAAGUCAGUGGUUCAAGUCCACUAUCGCCCA